rnacentral:rRNA from 1 species
UACAGAGGGGGCAAGCGUUGUUCGGAAUUACUGGGCGUAAAGGGCGCGUAGGCGGCCUUCUAAGUCGAACGUGAAAUCCCACGGCUCACCCGUGGAACUGCCUGGCAGACUGCGAUGCUCGAGUGUGGUAGGGGAGAGCGGAACUCCUGGUGGAGCGGUGAAAUGCGUAGAUAUCAGGAGGAACACCGGUGGCGAAGGCGGCUCUCUGGUCCAUGUCUGACGCUGAGGUGCGAAAGCUAGGGGAGCAAACGGG